UACGUAGGGGGCUAGCGUUGUCCGGAAUCAUUGGGCGUAAAGCGCGUGUAGGCGGUCCGGUAAGUCCGCUGUGAAAGUCGGGGGCUCAACCCUCGAAUGCCGGUGGAUACUGUCGGGCUAGAGUGCGGAAGAGGCGAGUGGAAUUCCUGGUGUAGCGGUGAAAUGCGCAGAUAUCAGGAGGAACACCAAUUGCGAAGGCAGCUCGCUGGGACGUAACUGACUCUGAGACGCUAAAUCGUCAUGAGCAAACAGG
rnacentral:rRNA from 1 species